UUUAUAUAUUUUAAAUCUAGUAAUGAGUGUUUAUUUUUGUUCAUCAGUGAAUGAAAACGGUUUUUAUCCUAAUAUGAAUUCAGCUUAUGAUCCUGAAUUUAUAUUGUUAAAGCAGUCAAUGAUAUUAUUUCAGAGUUAUAACUGACUUAGCAAAGUCACGUUAUUUAUUUAAGCAAGAUGAAAUUAGAUUUUAUCUUUAUUCAAGUCGUGAUUUAUUUCUGACUCGUGAGUUAAUUAAAUCUGCGGAUUUAAUUUAAAUAUUAGAACAACAAACGAAUUAAAUCUACGGAUUUAAUUUAGAUUCAUUUUAUAAUUUAUUGAUUUAAGCGAGAAAUCACAUGUCGAAAUACGAGAUUUAUUUAAAUAAACAGUAUCAAGCAGAUACGAGCACGCGAUCCAUCUUACAGUUACAGAAUCACCGAGACAGAGAAAAUACAUCAAUAAUUCUCCUCUACAUUUUUUUUUCCUUUCUUUUUCUUCUCUUUUUCUUUCCAUUAAUUUUGUUCCCCACUUCAUUUUACCACUAAAUCUACUUUUUGACUUUCACUACCAUUUUCCCCACCACUUUCACCACCAUUUUCUCCACUACUCAAUUAUGCAACAACACAUAUUGUUCCAGCCAUCAAGUCUUUUCUUCCCUCACCAAAACGUGCAGAAGAAGUUGAGAAAGGGAGAGAGAGUUUCCUCCAACUCCAAAUUGUAACUUGAAGAGGUCAAGCACGAGAUUAAUAAUCAGUCAAGGAGCUACUGUACCACAGAAAGUUUCUAACAGGUUGAGCAGCUGCCGUUGUUGAUGAAGUGACGAGCGGGAUUCUUUUGUCUUAUUAUGUAUUAAAGAACUCUAGGGUUACAUGUCUUCAUACAUGUAAUCAGAAUCAUAUUCCGCUGCGUACUCAGAAGUUUUAUGUUUAUUUGGCUAUGUCAGAGAUAUCUGAACUUACUAGUUAUUUGAGUCUAUACGACUAAACUUCUGUUAUAUUAUAAAUAUCCCUUUUGUUAAAUGAUGAAAU